CAGGUUAACACUCUUUAAUUAUGUUUAGUUUAGAAGUAGUGUUAGUUUUGCCAGUUAUUUGGGAAGUACUUUUUAUAUUGCUCAUUUAUGUUGAAGUCACGUGACAUUAGAAUAAGGACAAAAGCAAUAGAAUGGGAGAGGAUAAUAUCAAAAGCACGUGACGUGACAGAUAUUAUCCGUCACUAUUUGACUGGUUAGUUUGAUAAAAGCCGCCGUCAAACCCUAAGCAGCGGGGAGCCCCAGCCCCAGCCUCAAAUGGAAAACAAAGAAGCUAUUUCCAAAAAAAUCUUCAAGAGAGUUAAGAUAAUCCAUGACGCGCCGUUCAAAUGGGAAUCUGCUUAUUUAAGCGAUGCAAAAAUUAAAGGUAAAUAACUUGAUUAAAUUAUCGUGUUUUUUAUUUGUUUCUCUUUAAAUUUAAUAGCUGAACGUAACUUUCCAUUAGUAUUUGCUCAAAAUUCUCAAUUCAUUAGCCCAGUUAAAAUGAUUAAAAUGAUCGUGUUAUUUAAUUGUCUCCUUAAAUUUAAUGCUUUUGUCUUAACUUUUCAUUAUUAUUUGCUAAAAUUUCUCGUGUUACUAAUUCUCAGAAAUCAAGCACCAAAAUGAAUUAAA
rnacentral:lncRNA from 1 species